UGUUUGGAUUCGCAUAAUUCGUUCGGAGGCGAAAUAGGAAAACCAA
rnacentral:tRNA from 1 species